AGAGUUUGAUCCUGGCUCAGAGCGAACGCUGGCGGCAGGCCUAACACAUGCAAGUCGAACGGAUCCUUCGGGAUUAGUGGCGGACGGGUGAGUAACACGUGGGAACGUGCCUUUAGGUUCGGAACAACUCAGGGAAACUUGAGCUAAUACCGGAUGUGCCCUUAGGGGGAAAGAUUUAUCGCCUUUAGAGCGGCCCGCGUCUGAUUAGCUAGUUGGUGAGGUAAAGGCUCACCAAGGCGACGAUCAGUAGCUGGUCUGAGAGGAUGACCAGCCACAUUGGGACUGAGACACGGCCCAAACUCCUACGGGAGGCAGCAGUGGGGAAUCUUGCGCAAUGGGCGAAAGCCUGACGCAGCCAUGCCGCGUGUAUGAUGAAGGUCUUAGGAUUGUAAAAUACUUUCACCGGUGAAGAUAAUGACUGUAGCCGGAGAAGAAGCCCCGGCUAACUUCGUGCCAGCAGCCGCGGUAAUACGAAGGGGGCUAGCGUUGCUCGGAAUUACUGGGCGUAAAGGGAGCGUAGGCGGACAUUUAAGUCAGGGGUGAAAUCCCAGAGCUCAACUCUGGAACUGCCUUUGAUACUGGAUGUCUUGAGUAUGAGAGAGGUAUGUGG
rnacentral:rRNA from 1 species